UAAAUUUCUUCUUUGCAGAAGAACUGUUUUACAUUCCCCGUGGAGCUCAUAGACUGUAUAUCACAUCUGUUCCCAUUUUUGUUUUCUGGGUGCAGAGAAAGGCAAGAAGGGGGCUGCAGACCGUGUUUCCAUGAGCAGCAGUGAGGAAGAGGAGGAGGAGGAAGGAGAAUAUGAAGUGGACGAUGAGGAAGAGGAAGGAGAUGAAGACAACCUGAGCGACUCAGAUGGAGGCGAGAGGGCCGUGCCCCAACGGAGCCACCACCGUCAGAAACCGCUGUCUCGGGCAGAGUUGCAACAGCUGGCAAGAGGAGAAGAGGACGUGGUGGAAGACUUGGAUUUUUCCGAUGGAGACUGAUGGACAGAUUUUUUUGGGGGUGUAACUGGACAGCUGUUGCCACUUGUGGAGGGCCGAGGAAGGGGCUGCAUUGUUCCAGCUGGCCCUGAAGCCGAGUUGAUGCACUGGAGGGAAAUGCCAGAAAAUUUUGUCAUCCAGCAGGGAAGUCUAAAAAGACCACAUUGGCUGCAAAAAAACCCCUGCCUCUUUAGAAUAAUAAUAAUGUGGGUUCUGAAAACCAUCACAAAAUAAUACCUACUUUAAAAUUUAAAAAGAAACAGGCCAGCCUUCAAUGCUGCCCCUUCCUCUUCUGGAGGCCAAUCCCACCCACCCAGCGCUGGAGACGCAGAGAUGGAAGACCAACGUGCCACCACAUUUUGUGGCUUGGCUCUUUUCCUGCCAAGUGACCUUAUUUAAAACUCUUGGGACCAACAACAGCAGGAAGAGUUGGACUGGCAGCACAAUGCAUGCUUUGAAUCCCCCACUCCCCCCAAUUCCCCUAUUUUGAUUUCUGUACGGGAAGGGAUCGUGUGUGUCGGUUCUCGGCUUGUAAAAACAGCCUCUUGUGCAUUUCUUUCGGAGGCCUGGAUCGCUCUGCACCGAAACCGCAGUGGGCAAAACGGCCAGAUCCCGAUGGAGAAACGUUCUUCCCGCGGCUUUUACUGCACUGUGACCCACGCACGCCUUUCUUGGCCCCCCUGGGUGGUGCCCACCAGGAACUGAGACCCCCCAACACACACACACUUGUUGCUUGAGGUCACCGGACAGAUCAGGUCUAGAAUAAGGAGUAAGUCUUAUUGUUGGUUGUGAGUGGAUAAGGAGUUAGCAAGUCUUAUUGUUGGUUGUGAGUGGAUCCCCAAUGUAGCCAGGAACUCUCUGUAAUUUGCAACUUAGGUGAAGGGAGUCUUUAGUCUUCAGCUUGGCUAAAGAACCACGUUUGGUGGUUUAUGGAGAUAUGCUUGAGGCCCAAGAGCCCUUAAGUGAUAAAUUUGGUUGCCAUACAUUUGCAAUGGUGGUUCAGCUAGCUUUAAGCUGUGAAUGGUAGGGUCAAGGAAUCAUGGCCUUUGCCUUGGGUAAGGACCAAGAGUGUUUCUCUGGUAGGAUUGUGUAGACCAAGGGUCCCCAAACUUGGCAGCUUUUAGACUUGUGGACUUAACUCCCAGAAUUCUGAGAGUUGGAAGUCCAAAGUCUUAAAGUUGCCAAGUUUGGAGACCUCUCGUGUAGACCAAGUUUAGAUGUUGAGAUGUCAGAAGAAAUUACAUCAGGUUUCUCAUCCUUAGCAACUUGAAGAUGUGUGGAGUUCAAAUCCCAAAAUCCCCAGUUCGUUUGGGGAAUUCUGGGUUUUGAAAUCCACACAUCUUGCUAAGGGGUGAGAAAUCCUGAUCUAAGUGGGUCAUGUAUACCCACCAAGUCUUGAACGCUUGCUUUCAGAAAGUCAAUUGGCUUUUAGAAGGGUGUGGACUUCAACUCUUGGGGGAAUUGGAGUCCUCCAGGGUGGAAGGCACUAGAUGGCUCCCACUCAACUCCCAGAAUUCUGCAGGAGGAGUUAAGAGUUUUGAGAGCUGUAGUCCAGCCAUUGAAAGGUGCAACUUUCAGAGGGAGGGAUUUUAGCUCCCAGAAUCCUUAGCAAUGGUGGCUAGAGAAGCUUAAGAUGUCCCCUUUCUCCCCAAGACACCAGAUGGCUGCAAUUCAAUUUCCAUCUUUCUCCAUCCCACAGCUUGGAGACUUCUGGAAGCUGAAGUGCACCGUUCUUUGGAGACGGAGAGCUCCAUGCCUUCACUUGGUGGCCCCUAAUUCUUCUGAAUUCUGUGUUCAGAAAUUGGGGACUUGGCAAUGCAGUUGGUGGGCCUCCAACUCUGAAUUCUAUUAGGAAUUCUGAGGUUUGGAAUCCAAUCCAGAAGACCGGUCCGUGUCCUGUAGAUGGUAGGUCUCCAAUUCUUCUGAAUUAUAUGUUCCCCAGAGAGGGUGUAAUCCUACCUCAAUAGGAUGCCCUAUAUAGUAGGGUAGUUUUGAAAACCCUAGAAAUUGAGGUCCCCUCCUGGCUCCCAAGCAGCAGAUUGGCCACCAUUCGAUCUCUGGUGUUCUCCAGCACACGGACUGGAGAAUUCGGGGAAUUGAAGUUGGAAGACCCAUGUUCUCAAAGUGGGUUUGGUGUUAAAAUUAUCAGUCUAAAAGUCUUGAGAAUUGAAGACCCAUCACACCAAGCAUUCCCAGAGCUCAGCAACAGGGUUGUAGCAUUAAGGCAAUCAAAGUAACCCCCCAAAAAACCCAGAUGGA
ensembl:lncRNA